rnacentral:rRNA from 1 species
CCUACGGGAGGCAGCAGUGAGGAAUCUUGGUCAAUGGGCGCUAGCCUGAACCAGCCAAGUAGCGUGAAGGAUGACUGCCCUCUGGGCUGUAAACUUCUUUUAUAUGGGAAUAAAGUGCAGUAUGUAUACUUCUUUGCAUGUACCUUAUGAAUAAGGAUCGGCUAACUCCGUGCCAGCAUCCGCGGUAAUACGGAGGAUCCGAGCGUUAUCCGGAUUUAUUGGGUUUAAAGGGAGCGUAGGCGGGUUGUUAAGUCAGUUGUGAAAGUUUGCGGCUCAACCGUAAAAUUGCAGUUGAUACUGGCAUCCUUGAGUACAGUAGAGGUAGGCGGAAUUCGUGGUGUAGCGGUGAAAUGCUUAGAGAUCACGAAGAACUCCGAUUGCGAAGGCAGCCUGCUGGACUGUAACUGACGCUGAUGCUCGAAAGUGUGGGUAUCAAACAGGAUUAGAUACCCGUGUAGUC